CCCUGGCUCAGGACGAACGCUGGCGGCGUGCCUAAUACAUGCAAGUCGAGCGGAAUGAUGAAGAAGCUUGCUUCUUCUGAUUUUAGCGGCGGACGGGUGAGUAACACGUGGGCAACCUACCUUGUAGAUUGGGAUAACUCCGGGAAACCGGGGCUAAUACCGAAUAAUCCAUUUUGCUUCAUGGCAAGAUGUUGAAAGGCGGCUUCGGCUGUCACUACGAGAUGGGCCCGCGGCGUAUUAGCUAGUUGGUAGGGUAAUGGCCUACCAAGGCGACGAUACGUAGCCGACCUGAGAGGGUGAUCGGCCACACUGGGACUGAGACACGGCCCAGACUCCUACGGGAGGCAGCAGUAGGGAAUCUUCCACAAUGGACGAAAGUCUGAUGGAGCAACGCCGCGUGAGUGAAGAAGGUUUUCGGAUCGUAAAACUCUGUUGUAAGGGAAGAACACGUACGAGAGUAACUGCUUCGUACCUUGACCGGUACCUUAUUAGAAAGCCACGGCUAA
rnacentral:rRNA from 1 species